CCCAAAAUCAAUACCAACCUUCCUUUUGUGGUCAUAAACCUUGUGUUAAAAUUUCAUAGAUUUCCAUUCACUUUUACUAAAGUUAGAGUGCGAAAACUAAAAGUAUUCGGACGACGACGACGACGACGACGACGACGACGACGCCGACGCCAACGUGAUAGCAAUAUACGACGAAAAUUUUUUCAAAAUUUGCGGUCGUAUAAAAAGCUACGAUUUUUCGUUAGAGUAAUAAUUAACGUUCUUAAAAAGUCCCUUUUACAGAUAUCAAGGUGAUCAGAAAAUCGGAAAACAAUCAUUUGAAAUGUGUUUUUCUGACACUGUACGCACACAAAUACACCCAAAAUCGGACUUAAAUACAGUUUAAUCUUAUCAUAAUAGCUGUAAGAUGUGUUUAUUACCAAUUUUCUGAAUCAUAAAUUCGACAAGCUUUCGUUUAAAACAUUCCAACUGAAAUUUCCACUAGAAAUACAAAUUUUAGCAUGGGUGUACUGAAAAUUCGAUAUUUUUUGAAAAUGACCCAAAUCAUUUCUAAGUAAAUCAGUAAUCGACAGAACGGUUAUUAUUAAAUGGGCACAAUUGUAAGAAAAAAAUAUACCUUAUAUAUUUUCAGUAUAACUUUAUUCUUGUUUGAUGUGUGCAUGAGCUCAAUGUUUACGAGACACUCGCGCGGCAACCAAAAAAAUACAUAAUAAUAUAAAGACAUCACGUUAAUCGAAUAAAUUGUCAGUGGAUUUACAUACCUUGCCCAACAUUUGUUAAGAUAAUAUAUAUAUAUAUAUGUAUACACGUAUUUUUCCGGACAUAAGACAAUGCCUAGAUCCGAUACCAGCAAGAAAUCUCGACGAUAAAACCAUAAAAAUAGCGACAACCAUUGGGGUGAUUCAUAAUAGACACAUGUACAUUAUGACUACGUUAACAUAAUUUUGAAAUAACUCAACCUCCUUUUCCCAAAGCACAAAGAAAGGUUGACAUUGUUUUGCAAAAAAUAACAAAAAGAAAAAAAUAGUGUUACUUCCGAGACAAAUGCGGCUAACAAAUAAUUAUUGUUACUACCG
rnacentral:lncRNA from 1 species